rnacentral:rRNA from 1 species
CCUACGGGAGGCAGCAGUUAGGAAUCUUCCGCAAUGGGCGCAAGCCUGACGGAGCGACGCCGCUUGGAGGAGGAAGCCCUUCGGGGUGUAAACUCCUGAACCCGGGACGAAACCCCCGAUGAGGGGACUGACGGUACCGGGGUAAUAGCGCCGGCCAACUCCGUGCCAGCAGCCGCGGUAAUACGGAGGGCGCGAGCGUUACCCGGAUUCACUGGGCGUAAAGGGCGUGUAGGCGGCCUGGGGCGUCCCAUGUGAAGGGCCACGGCUCAACCGUGGAGGAGCGUGGGAUACGCUCAGGCUAGACGGUGGGAGAGGGUGGUGGAAUUCCCGGAGUAGCGGUGAAAUGCGCAGAUACCGGGAGGAACGCCGAUGGUGAAGGCAGCCACCUGGUCCACCCGUGACGCUGAGGCGCGAAAGCGUGGGGAGCAAACCGGAUUAGAUACCCGGGUAGUCCACGCCCUAAACGAUGCGCGCUAGGUCUCUGGGUUGUCUGGGGGCCGAAGCUAACGCGUUAAGCGCGCCGCCUGGGGAGUACGGCCGCAAGGCUGAACUUAAAGGAAUUGACGG